GGCGAACGGGUGAGGAAUACAUGGGUAACCUACCCUCGAGUGGGGAAUAACUAGCCGAAAGGUUAGCUAAUACCGCGUACGCUCCUUGGACUUCGGUUCAGGGAGGAAAGCGAUACCGUGGGUAUCGCGCUCUUGGAUGGGCUCAUGUCCUAUCAGCUUGUUGGUGAGGUAACGGCUCACCAAGGCUUCGACGGGUAGCUGGUCUGAGAGGACGAUCAGCCACACUGGCACUGCGACACGGGCCAGACUCCUACGGGAGGCAGCAGUAAGGAAUAUUGCGCAAUGGGCGAAAGCCCGACGCAGCGACGCCGCGUGGGGGAUGAAGGUCUUCGGAUUGUAAACCCCUUUCGGGAGGGAAGAUGGAAUGGGGUAACCCAUUCGGACGGUACCUCCAGAAGCAGCCACGGCUAACUUCGUGCCAGCAGCCGCGGUAAUACGAAGGUGGCAAGCGUUGUUCGGAUUUACUGGGCGUACAGGGAGCGUAGGCGGUUCGGUAAGCCCUCUGUGAAAUCUCCAGGCUUAACCUGGAACAGUCGGGGGGGACUGCUGGGCUAGAGGACGGGAGAGGAGCGCGGAAUUCCCGGUGUAGCGGUGAAAUGCGUAGAGGUCGGGAGGAAGGCCGGUGGCGAAGGCGGCGCUCUGGAACGUUUCUGACGCUGAGGCUCGAAAGCGUGG
rnacentral:rRNA from 1 species